rnacentral:misc_RNA from 1 species
GAUGAAGAACGUAGCGAAAUGCGAUAAGUAAUGUGAAUUGCAGAAUUCAGUGAAUCAUCGAAUCUUUGAACGCACAUUGCGCCCGCCAGUAUUCUGGCGGGCAUGCCUGUCUGAGCGUCAUUUCAACCCUCAAGCCCAGCUUGGUGUUGGGGAUCGGCACAGGCGCCCUCGGGCGCCCGCCGUCCCCUAAAUCUAGUGGCGGUCCCGCUGCAGCCUCCUCUGCGUAGUAGUUUUCUCCUCGCAAGGGCAGCUCGGUGGCGACCUCGCCGUAAAACCCCCAACUUCUGAAAGGUUGACCUCGAAUCAGGUAGGAAUACCCGCUGAACUUAAGCAUAUCAAUAAGCGGAGGA